rnacentral:rRNA from 1 species
GUGGGGAAUAUUGCGCAAUGGGGGAAACCCUGACGCAGCAACGCCGCGUGAUUGAAGAAGGCCUUCGGGUUGUAAAGAUCUUUAAUUGGGGACGAAUAAAUGACGGUACCCAAAGAAUAAGCUCCGGCUAACUACGUGCCAGCAGCCGCGGUAAUACGUAGGGAGCAAGCGUUAUCCGGAUUUACUGGGUGUAAAGGGCGAGUAGGCGGGCCGACAAGUUGGGAGUGAAAUCCGGGGGCUUAACCCCCGAACUGCUUUCAAAACUGUUGGUCUUGAGUGAUGGAGAGGCAGGCGGAAUUCCCAGUGUAGCGGUGAAAUGCGUAGAUAUUGGGAGGAACACCAGUGGCGAAGGCGGCCUGCUGGACAUUAACUGACGCUGAGGCGCGAAAGCGUUGGGAGCAAACAGGAUUAGAAACCCGAGUAGUCC